AUUCUGCCCAAGCGGGGAAGGAUGAGAAGCUUCGACCAAGGUUCGACUUGAGCGCCAGCGAGAGAGCGUUGCCGCAGGCAACGACCCGAAGGGCGAAGC
rnacentral:sRNA from 1 species